rnacentral:rRNA from 1 species
ACGGAGAGUUUGAUCCUGGCUCAGGAUGAACGCUGGCGGCGUGCCUAAUACAUGCAAGUCGAGCGAUGAGGCCCCUUCGGGGGUACAUCAGCGGCGAACGGGUGAGUAACACGUAGGUGACCUGCCCCGAAGAGGGGGAUAACCACUGGAAACGGUGGCUAAUACCCCAUGUGCUCGGCGAUUCGCUUCGUCGAGUAAAGCUCCGGCGCUUCGGGAGGGGCCUGCGGCCCAUCAGCUAGUUGGUAGGGUAAUGGCCUACCAAGGCGAAGACGGGUAGGGGGCGUGAGAGCGCGACCCCCCACACUGGCACUGAGACACGGGCCAGACUCCUACGGGAGGCAGCAGUAGGGAAUAUUGCACAAUGGGCGAAAGCCUGAUGCAGCGACGCCGCGUGGGCGAUGAAGGCCUUCGGGUUGUAAAGCCCUUUUCUGGGGGAAGAGANNCCAGGAAGAAGGCCCGGCUAACUACGUGCCAGCAGCCGCGGUAAAACGUAGGGGGCAAGCGUUAUCCGGAUUUACUGGGCGUAAAGAGCGUUGAGGCGGUUCCGUAAGUUGGGCGUGAAAGCCCCGGGCUCAACCCGGGGAGGUCGUUCAAUACUGCGGAGCUUGAGGGCAGCAGAGGGAGGUGGAAUUCCCGGUGUAGUGGUGAAAUGCGUAGAUAUCGGGAGGAACACC